GUCCAUAAGCUAUGUAUCUAGAAAUCUCAAUUUUUAUCCAUCUCAAAAUCUAUCAUUUUGGAGCUGCUUUGACUGUGUCAGAACUUCCGAUACACCAUAGAAACUUCCGAUACCCACUGGAAGUAUGAGAUAAGUUCCGACAAAGGGUGCUCGGGAGAAUUCUUUUCUUUAUCGAAACUUCCAGCGCUUCGUUGGAACUUCCGAUAAUGUUCGGAUCUUUCCAGUUUCUUCCAAUAGAGGGUGCUUGGGACAUCUAAACUUCCGAUAGAUAGCCUGAGGCUAUAUAUACCCGUUGAGCCGACCCUCAAACCCUAACUUCUCUCCACAGUUCAAACCGGGCACCCCCUCUCUCUUCCCUCUCCACCACUCUACGAGAUUUAAAGUUUUGACCAUGGAAAGUUGGAGCCCUUGCUAUAUUUGUACUCUCCACUCCUCAGAACCUCUGAUCCACCUUUGGAGUCUUCCGAUCCACGUGGGAAAUCUUCAAGGUAACUUAUUCAAAAAUUCCAUUGCCCGAUCUUAGUGCUGUAGGAGUUAAUCAAUUUC
rnacentral:lncRNA from 1 species